rnacentral:tRNA from 1 species
GCGGCUGUAGCUCAGUGGUAGAGCACUCGGUUGUGGUCCGAGAUGUCGCGGGUUCAAUCCCCGUCAGUCGCCCCA